rnacentral:rRNA from 1 species
GAUGAACGCUAGCUCCAGGCUUAACACAUGCAAGUCGAGGGACCGGCGCACGGGUGAGUGACACGUAUCCAACCUGCCCUUUACUCGGGGAUAGCCUUUCGAAAGAAAGAUUACUACCCGAUAUAAAGGAUGGGGAUGCGUUCCAUUAGGUUGUGGGUGAGGUAACGGCUCACCAAGGCGUCGAUGGAUAGGGGUUCUGAGAGGCAGGACCCCCACAAUGGAGAUGCGACACAGUCCAAACUCCGACGGGAGGGAGCGGUGUAGAAGAUAUGUCAAGGAGCGCUAGCCUAGACCUGCCGAGUAGCGUAAAAGAGUAAGGCUUAUGGGUCCUAAACAAGUUUUAUAUAAGAAUAUGUAUUAUAUGAAUAAGGAUCGGCUAACUCCGUGCCAGCCGCCGCGGUAAUUC